GACGUAGGGGGCAAGCGUUGUCCGGAUUUAUUGGGCGUAAAGAGCUCGUAGGCGGCUUGGCAAGUCGGAUGUGAAAUCCCGGAGCUCAACUCCGGAACUGCAUUCGAUACUGCCCGGCUCGAGGAUUGGAGAGGAGACUGGAAUUCACGGUGUAGCAGUGAAAUGCGUAGAGAUCGUGAGGAACACCCGUGGCGAAGGCGGGUCUCUGGACAAUUCCUGACACUGAGGCACGCAGGCGAGGGGAGCAAACGGG
rnacentral:rRNA from 1 species